rnacentral:tRNA from 1 species
UAGUUCAGUCGGUAAAGUAUCUGCUUGCAGUGCAGGAGAUCCAGGUUCGAUCCCUGG